rnacentral:lncRNA from 1 species
UAUGUGUCCAAAGUGUCCACCUUCAGUGAAUGAAGUCUGCAUGCUUUGAGGUCUAAACAUCCUCUCCUGGUCCAGAGAAGAAGAGAAGUUGCUGAAACUAAUGGGCCCUUCCCAGUUCCACACAGAGUGCUUUACACACACAAUCUCAGCAGGCACUGAACACACAGCCUGAAAAGGACUCGAGUCUUCUCACCCACAUCGGGUAGGGUCUCCCUUUCAGAUAUCUGGGCUGUGUCCAGGGAUGAACUGACUCUGCCCACAGGUCCCUGCUCUGCCUGUCCUCCCACUGGUGAGCAUCUUUGUGAACAUGCUCUGAUCACCAUGCCCAGAUCACCUCUGGGGCAUAGGUCCAAUUUGGCAUCUGGAAUGCAAUUGGAUUUGUCAUAUACUUUGGAUAUGGGAUCUGACACAGCCUGGCGGGGAAUGACAAGCCACAGCCACCAGACUUCACUUCUCAGACUUGACAAAAACAUCCCUGGUGUUUUACAAAAGCAUUCUGUAACCACAGGACAUUGAUGCUGUGUGGAAUCCCUCUAGGCACUGCAGUUAUCUUCUGGUUCAAGGGACAUUUGAGUCUGUGGACUGUUGUUAUGGUCUUCUUGACAGACUGGAACCUGGGGACAGGAGUCGACAAAAAGAAGGCGAAGCAAAGAAGGACGUGGGGGACCCAAGUCUCUAGCGGAACAAGGGUACUUUAUUCAUGACAGGGUGUGCUUAUAUAUUGUUAUACAAGGAAGCUUUAGGCAGAAAAAGAAAGUUGAGUAAAAAACACCAAAAC